GUCUCCGUGGCGCAAUUGGUUAGCGCGUCUGACUGUUAAUCAGGAGGCUGGCAGUUCAAGCCUGCCCGGGGACG
rnacentral:tRNA from 1 species